GGUUUCCCUUUACGAAUUGUAGUUUAAAGAAGUGUUUUCUGUUGAGGUUUUGGUAAAAGUUCUUUGGAAUAGGACAUCAUAGAGGGUGAGAAUCCCGUAUUUGACCUUUACUUUCAACUUUGUGAUACACUUUCAAAGAGUCGGAUUGUUUGGGAAUGCAGUCCAAAAUGGGUGGCAAAUUUCAUCUAAAGCUAAAUAUUGGCGAGAGACCGAUAGCGAACAAGUACCGUGAGGGAAAGAUGAAAAGAACUUUGAAAAGAGAGUUAAACAGUACGUGAAAUUGUCAAAAGGGAAGCGUUUGACACCAGUGUUGUUUUUCUGAAAAUCAAUUAAAGAACUGUUUAUGCUAAGCUGUUUAGACUUUAUCAGCUAACUGUUUAGUUUUGAGCUUUUCUUU
rnacentral:rRNA from 1 species